rnacentral:rRNA from 1 species
AUUGAACGCUGGCGGCAGGCCUAACACAUGCAAGUCGAACGCGUGGCGGACGGGUGUGUAAUGUCUGGGUAACUGCCCGAUGGAGGGGGAUACCUACUGGAAACGGUAGCUAAUACCGCGUACCAUCGGAUGUGCCCAGAUGGGAUUAGCUCGGAGGUGGGGUAACGGCUCACCUAGGCGAAGAUCCCUCGCUGGUCUGAGAGGAUGACCGGCAAGACGGGAACCGAUACACGGUCCAGCCACCUACGGGAGGCAGCAGUGGGGAAUAUUGCACAAUGGGCGCAAGCCUGAUGCAGCCAUGCCGCGUGUAUGAAGAAGGCCUUCGGGUUGUAAAGUACUUUCAGCGGGGAGGCGUUACCCGCAGAAGAAGCACCGGCUAACUCAGUGCCAGCAGCCGCGGUAAUAC